rnacentral:rRNA from 1 species
CCUACGGGAGGCAGCAGUGGGGAAUCUUGCACAAUGGAGGAAACUCUGAUGCAGCGAUGCCGCGUGAGUGAGGAAGGCCUUUGGGUUGUAAAGCUCUUUUGUAGGGGAAGAUAAUGACUGUACCCUAAGAAUAAGGUCCGGCUAACUUCGUGCCAGCAGCCGCGGUAAUACGAAGGGACCUAGCGUAGUUCGGAAUUACUGGGCGUAAAGCGCGCGUAGGCCGUUGAGUUAGUUAAUUGUGAAAUCCCAAAGCUUAACUUUGGAACUGCAAUUAAAACUGCUCGACUAGAGUUUGAUAGAGGAAAGCGGAAUACAUAGUGUAGAGGUGAAAUUCGUAGAUAUUAUGUAGAACACCAGUUGCGAAGGCGGCUUUCUGGAUCAACACUGACGCUGAGGCGCGAAAGUAUGGGUAGCAAAGAGGAUUAGAUACCCUCGUAGUCCAUACCAUAAACGAUGAUUGCUAGAUGUUGGAAAUUUAUUUUCAGUAUCGCAGCUAACGCAUUAAGCAAUCCGCCUGGGGAUACGACCGCAAGGUUAAAACUCAAAUGAAUUGACCGGNNGAGAGNGCGAGACGACGACGAGGAGAGG